GAGAGAGAGAGAGAGAGAGAGCAGGGAAUAGAGAUAGUUGGGGUGGUGUAGCCAAAACAAAAUGCUUUCUCGUGGGAACCAAGGACAUUCCUGCAGAUGCUCGGAAGGAGGGGACUGGAGUCACUUAGCAACUAGGCAGCAUCCUGAUUGGA